rnacentral:rRNA from 2 species
GACUCUCGGCAACGGAUAUCUCGGCUCACGCAUCGAUGAAGAACGUAGCAAAAUGCGAUACUUGGUGUGAAUUGCAGAAUCCCGUGAACCAUCGAGUUUUUGAACGCAAGUUGCGCCCGAAGCCUUUUGGACAAGGGCACGUCUGCCUGGGCGUCACAC